rnacentral:snRNA from 1 species
GGAUUUGAAGGGGAUCUGGCUGUGACACCUGUCACCUCAUUGAUUACCAGAGUUGGUUUGACUGAUCUGUGUCCUUUCCAAAGUUAGGACAUCUUCCUUAAAUAGAGACUGACAGGUCUUCCUUCAGUUGAAGGUACAGGAGUAGCUGCAGUCCUUUGAUAGAGCCUCUAAACAAGCUCUCAAGCAAAGGGCUGGGGAGACAUUAUAGUGGUUAUGCUAAAGAGUACUCUGAGCAAGGGUAGAUAGCAUAAUAGUUAUGCAAAUGAACUCU